UCCACCGUGAGGUGGAAUCUGAAGGAAGCUGGAGGCAAAUCUCCGACCCGAGGAACACGAAUCUCAUAAAAGGCUGUCCUUCUUGGGUGAGGCUGCAAAACAAGUCGAAGUCCGAGCGACCAAAGGGAAGGGCAGUAAAUGAGGCGGGUACAUGGAGAGGAAGUUUGUGCA
rnacentral:ncRNA from 1 species